UGUCCCAUGGCUUAGUUGGUUACGGCGUCCGACUGUUAUAGUGGGGAACUAACUGACAUCGGAAGAUCGAGAGUUCAAGUCUCUCUGGGACAG